AGAUUGAACGCUGGCGGCAGGCCUAACACAUGCAAGUCGAGCGGCAGCACGGGUACUUGUACCUGGUGGCGAGCGGCGGACGGGUGAGUAAUGCCUAGGAAUCUGCCUGAUAGUGGGGGAUAACGUUCGGAAACGGACGCUAAUACCGCAUACGUCCUACGGGAGAAAGUGGGGGAUCUUCGGACCUCACGCUAUCAGAUGAGCCUAGGUCGGAUUAGCUAGUUGGUAGGUAAAGGCCUACCAAGGCUACGAUCCGUAACUGGUCUGAGAGGAUGAUCAGUCACACUGGAACUGAGACACGGUCCAGACUCCUACGGGAGGCAGCAGUGGGGAAUAUUGGACAAUGGGCGAAAGCCUGAUCCAGCCAUGCCGCGUGUGUGAAGAAAGGUCUUCGGAUUGUAAAAGCACUUUAAGUUGGAGAUGGCAUUAACCUAAUACGUUAGUGUUUUGACGUUACCGACAGAAUAAGCACCGGCUAACUCUGUGCCAGCAG
rnacentral:rRNA from 1 species